AUGAACUCGUCCAUGGACGAGAUCAACCUGCUACGGCAGCACCAGCGACACCAGCAGCACCACCUGUCGGUGCGCGGCAUCGGUGAGGAGAUCGACCUCGAGAUCGACCAGUGUGAAGAUCCCACUUUCUCGGGCGCCGCACUCGAGGGCGUGACCUCCCAUCACCCUCAAGACCCCGUCGUCCCUGCCGAUGACCACAAGAGCUUCCUCAUCCCGUGCUCGCAGCCUGGCGCAGUGGACGGCCAACCGCAGCCCACGCCACCGCAAGCAGAGGAACGGGCAGGGAUGCUGAGGCUGUCGGCGCAUACCAAGAAGAAGAAGAAGGUGGUCAAGAAAUGGCGGGAUGAGUGGGCGGACACAUACAAGUGGGCCUAUGUGGCCGUGCACGACAACACCAGCAGAAUCUUCUGCACCGUUUGCAAGGAGUAUGGCCGCAAGCAUCGCCGGAACCCCUAUGGGAACGAGGGGAGCAGGAACAUGCAGAUGAGUGCGCUAGAGGAGCACAACAAUAGCUUGCUGCAUAAGGAGGCGCUCCGACUGCAGUCAGCCUCCAAGGAGAAGGUGCAAACUCCUGAGAUAGAGAGGCCGGUUUGUGUCAAAGCUUUGUCGAAAACAGCAGCUUCAAUACUUGAAUCUCUCUUCAAGAAGGACCCUCAUGAAGCUGAAUUUAUACAGUCUAUACAGGAGGUGGUUCAUUCUAUAGAACCAGUUUUGGUGAAGAACUCACAAUAUGUUCAGAUAUUGGAGCGUUUAUUAGAACCUGAGAGAUGUUUUAUCUUCAGAGUGCCAUGGGUUGAUGACAGAGGUGAAGCUCAUGUCAAUCGAGGUUUCCGUGUGCAGUUCAGUCAGGCUUUAGGUCCAUGCAGAGGUGGUCUCCGUUUCCACCCGUCCAUGAACUUAAGUGUGGCAAAGUUUCUAGCUUUUGAGCAGACUCUGAAGAAUGCUCUGUCACUAUAUAAACUUGGAGGUGCUGCUGGAGGGAGCGAUUUUGAUCCAAAGGGUAAAAGUGAAAUUGAGGUAAUGCGCUUUUGUCAAAGUUUCAUGGAUGAGCUGUAUAGAUACUUGGGCCCUGAUCAGGAUUUUCCUGCUGAAGAUGUUGGUGUUGGUCCAAGGGAAAUGGGUUUCCUUUUUGGGCAGUACAGACGCCUUUCUGGUCAUUUUCAGGGAAAUUUUACAGGGCCUAAGAUCUUCUGGUCUGGUUCUAGUUUUAGAACAGAAGCUACUGGAUACGGACUGGUAUUUUUUGCACGUGUUGUACUUGCUGAUAUGAAUAAGGAGCUCAAAGGAUUAAGAUGUGCGAUAAGUGGUUCAGGAAAGAUAGCAAUGCAUGUCUUGGAAAAGCUUCUGUCGUGUGAAGCUAUUCCUGUUACAGUCUCAGAUUCAGAAGGCUAUCUAUUUGAUGGAGACGGGUUUGAUUAUGUGAAAUAUACACUUAUAAGGAAUAUUAAGGCACAACAAAGGAGCCUCAAGGAAUACUUGAAAACAUUUCCACGUGCCAAAUAUAUCAAUGAUGCUAAGCCAUGGGGUGAGCAGUGUGAUAUUGCAUUCCCUUGUGCAUCACAAAAUGAGAUUGACCAGGGGGAGGCUCUUUCAAUAAUUAGCUCUGGUUGCCGUGUUCUUAUAGAAUGUUCAAACAUGCCAUGCACUGGUCAAGCAGUUGAUAUCCUAAGAAAGGCAAAAGUCCAUGUUGCUCCAGCAAAGGCAACUGCUGCUGGUGGGGUAGCAGUCGGUGAACUUGAACUGAAUCCAGAGUUCAGCUUAAUGCAGUGGUCAGUAGAGGAUUUCGAGAACAAAAUACAGGAAGCAGUAAAGCAAACAUAUGACAGGUCGAUGAAAGCUGCUCAAGAAUAUGGAAUCCUGAAAGAGAACCCAGAGUCUUUGGUGCAUGGUGCAAACAUAUCGGCCUUCCUGAACAUUGCACAAGCCAUGACUGAUCAAGGAUGUGUGUAG
rnacentral:rRNA from 1 species